rnacentral:rRNA from 1 species
AGAUUGAACGCUGGCGGCAUGCUUUACACAUGCAAGUCGAACGGUAACAGGCCGCAAGGUGCUGACGAGUGGCGAACGGGUGAGUAAUGCAUCGGAACGUGCCCAGUCGUGGGGGAUAACGCAGCGAAAGCUGUGCUAAUACCGCAUACGAUCUAAUGGAUGAAAGCGGGGGACCGAAAGGCCUCGCGCGAUUGGAGCGGCCGAUGUCAGAUUAGCUAGUU